UGAGGAAUCUUGGACAAUGGGGGCAACCCUGAUCCAGCGACGCCGCGUGAAGGACGAAGGUCUUCGGAUUGUAAACUUCUUUUCUCUGGGAAUAAGAAAGCCCCAGAAAUGGGGAUAGUGAAUGUACUAGAGGAAUAAGCCACGGCUAACUUCGUGCCAGCAGCCGCGGUAAUACGAAGGUGGCAAGCGUUACUCGGAAUUACUAGGCGUAAAGGGCAGGUAGGUGGUUUGAUAAGUCUGUUGUGUAAGCUCCUGGCUUAACUGGGAGAGGUCAACGGAAACUAUCAGGCUUGAGCAUAGGAGAGGGUACUGGAAUUCCCGGUGUAGCGGUGAAAUGCGCAGAGAUCGGGAGGAACACCAAUGGCGAAAGCAGGUACCUGGACUAUUGCUGACACUCAGCUGCGAAAGCUAGGGGAGCAAACA
rnacentral:rRNA from 1 species